rnacentral:rRNA from 1 species
AAAGGGAAGAGCCCAGCGCCGAAUCCCCGGCCGGAUAGGUCGAGGGAAAUGUGGCGUUCGGGAGUGAGCGUGCCGGGCGCGGUGCUGGCGGCAAGUCCCCCUGACCGGGGCCUGUCCGUAGCGGGUGCGAGGCCCAUAGCCGCCGGCGCCGUCUCGGAUGCGAUCUCCUUGGAGUCGGGUUGCUUGGGAGUGCAGCCCUAAUCGGGUGGUAAACUCCACCUAAGGCUAAAUACCGCCGUGAGACCGAUAGCAAACAAGUACCGUGAGGGAAAGUUGCAAAGAACUUUGAAGAGAGAGUUCAAGAGUACGUGAAACUGUUCAGAGGUAAACGGGUGGGCCCUCGAAAUCCUGUGGCGGGAGGAUUCAGUCUGCGGGCCGAAGGCCGGGCGCGGGAAGCGCGUAGGGCUUCCCGAGAACCGGGUGCCGUCCCGCGUCCGGUCUCUGGCCGGCAGACGCAUUUGUCUCCCGUCCGAAGGACGCUGCAGCCGGUCGGGCCGUUUUUACGUCGGCCUUGAGGCGGGGAGCCGGCAGGUGGCCGGUGGCGCGCCUCGUGUGCGUCGCCGGUUGUUAGCCAUCCCCGCAGUGGCUCGACGCCCGACCGUGGUGUCUAUGGCCCGUUAUCGGGCCUCUCCGUCUCCUCCAUUUGCGAAGCGGGACAGGCGGCCGCAGGCGGACCCCGUUAUUCGGCGCACUCUCCAGAGUGGCCGCGCGAGCGGGGGACGUCGUUGGUGGCCGCGGACCCGCGGGG